rnacentral:rRNA from 1 species
GUCCACGCCGUAAACGGUGGGCGCUAGGUGUGGGGAACAUUCCACGUUCUCCGUGCCGCAGCUAACGCAUUAAGCGCCCCGCCUGGGGAGUACGGCCGCAAGGCUAAACUCAAGGAAUUGACGGGGCCCGCACAAGCGGCGGAGCAUGCGGCUUAAUUCGAUGCAACGCGAAGAACCUUACCUAGGCUUGACAGUUGGGGAAAUCUGGCAGAGAUGUCAGGUCCGCAAGGGCCCAAACAGGUGGUGCAUGGCUGUCGU